AUUGAACGCUGGCGGCAUGCCUUACACAUGCAAGUCGAACGGUAACAGGUCUUCGGAUGCUGACGAGUGACGAACGGGUGAGUAAUACAUCGGAACGUGCCUAGUAGUGGGGGAUAACUACUCGAAAGAGUGGCUAAUACCGCAUGAGAUCUACGGAUGAAAGCAGGGGAUCGCAAGACCUUGUGCUACUAGAGCGGCCGAUGGCAGAUUAGGUAGUUGGUGGGAUAAAAGCUUACCAAGCCGACGAUCUGUAGCUGGUCUGAGAGGACGAUCAGACACACUGGGGCUGAGACACGGCACAGACUCCUACGGGAGGCAGCAGCGGGGAAUUUUGGACAAUGGGCGAAAGCCCGAUCCAGCAAUGCCGCGUGCAGGAUGAAGGCCUUCGGGUUGUAAACUGCUUUUGUACGGAACGAAAAGCCCCGGGUUAAUACCCUGGGGUCAUGACGGUACCGUAAGAAUAAGCACCGGCUAACUACGUGCCAGCAGCCGCCGCAG
rnacentral:rRNA from 1 species